rnacentral:rRNA from 1 species
AGAGUUUGAUCCUGGCUCAGGACGAACGCUAGCGGCAGGCUUAACACACGCAAGUCGAACGGUAAGGCCCCUUCGGGGGUACACGAGUGGCGCACGGGUGCGUAACACGUAUGCAACCUACCCUUCAGCGGGGGAUAGUCGCGGGAAACUGCGAAUAAUACCCCAUACGAUCUUGGUUUGGCAUCGGGCUAAGAUGAAAGUUCCGGCGCUGAAGGCUGGGCAUGCGUCCCAUUAGCUAGUUGGUGAGGUAACGGCUCACCAAGGCGACGAUGGGUAGCUGGUCUGAGAGGAUGAUCAGCCACAUGGGCACUGAGACACGGGCCCAACUCCUACGGGAGGCAGCAGUGAGGAAUCUUGGUCAAUGGGCGGAAGCCUGAACCAGCCAUGCCGCGUGGAGGAAGACGGCCCUCUGGGUUGUAAACUCCUUUAGCUAGGGGCUAAGGCAGUGCUACAGGCAUUGUUGCAGGUACCUAGAGAAUAAGCGCCGGCUAACUACGUGCCAGCAGCCGCGGUAAUACGUAGGGCGCAAGCGUUGUCCGGAUUUAUUGGGUUUAAAGGGUGCGUAGGCGGAUAUGUAAGUUCGUGGUGAAAUCGUCCGGCUUAACCGGAUACCCGCCAUGGAUACUGUGUAUCUUGAGUGUGGAUGAGGAAGUUAGAAUGCGUGGUGUAGCGGUGAAAUGCAUAGAUAUCACGCAGAAUACCGAUUGCGAAGGCAGACUUCUGGUCCAUAACUGACGCUGAGGCACGAAAGCGUGGGUAGCGAACAGGAUUAGAUACCCUGGUAGUCCACGCUGUAAACGAUGAUCACUAGGUGUUCGGCCGAUAUGGUUGAGUGCCCAAGCGAAAGCGAUAAGUGAUCCACCUGGGGAGUACGUCGGCACGAUGAAACUCAAAGGAUUGACGGGGCCCGCACAGCGUGAGCAUGUGGUUUAUCGAUGAUACGCGAGGAC